AAAACCUACAGCUGUGAUGAGUGUGGGAAGGAUUUUACCCGGGCUGGACAUUUAAAAACACACCAACUUGUCCACAGUGGAGUUAAACCUUACAGCUGUGAGUUGUGUGGAAAGUCUUUUACCGAGGCUGGACACUUGAAAAAACACCAACUCACCCACAGUGGAGUUAAACCUUACAGCUGUGAGUUGUGUGGAAAGUCUUUUACCCAGGCUGGAGACUUAAAAAGACACCAACUCAUCCACAGUGGAUUUAAACCUUACAGCUGUGAGUUGUGUGGAAAGUCUUUUAUCGAGGCUGGACACUUGAAAAAACACCAACUCAUCCACAGUGGAUUUAAACCUUACAGCUGUGAGUUGUGUGGAAAGUCUUUUACCGAGGCUGGACACUUGAAAAAACACCAACUCAUCCACAGUGGAGUUAAACCUUACAGCUGUGACUUGUGUGGAAAGUCUUUUACCCAGGCUGGACACUUGAAAAAACACCAACUCAUCCACAGUGGAGUUAAAGCUUACAGCUGUAAAUUGUGUGGAAAGUCUUUUACCGAGGCUGGAGGCUUAAAAACACACCAACUCAUCCACAGUGGCGUUAAACCUUACAGCUGUGACUUGUGUGGAAAGUCUUUUACCCAGGCUGGACACUUGAAAAAACACCAACUCAUCCACAGUGGAGUUAAAGCUUACAGCUGUAAAAUGUGUGGAAAGUCUUUUAGCGUGGCUGGAGGCUUAAAAACACACCAACUCAUCCACAGUGGAGUUAAACCGUACAGCUGUGAGUUGUGUGGAAAGUCUUUUACCCGGGCUGGAAACUUAAAAAGACACCAACUCAUCCACAGUGGAUUUAAACCUUACAGCUGUGAGUUGUGUGGAAAGUCUUUUACCCAGGCUCAAACCUUAAAAAAACACCAACUCAUCCACAGUGGAGUUAAAUCUUACAGCUGUGAGGUGUGUGGUAAGACUUUGGCUCAAAAUAGCAGCUUACAGAAGCAUCUAGUUACCCACUCUGGAAUUAAGGCGUACAGCUGCGACUUUUGUGGAAAAAGUUUCAGUGACAAACACUACCGAAAUAUUCACCUGCGGAUUCACACUGGAAAUGAUGUUUACUGCUGUGAUCAGUGUGGGAAACCAUUUACAACAGAUGCACAGUUACAACAACACAUGUUUAGCCACACUGAGGAGAGACCUUAUAAAUGUGACCUGUGUGAGAAGACUUUUAAAGCUCCAAAUCAGCUGAAAAAACACCAACAGAUCCACACCAGAAAGUAACUCUACAAGUGCAGUUACUGUGAGAAGCGGAGCGACGCACAUGGAUCCAUUUCUCAACCCUGUCGUCACUGUGGUGGUGGGAAAGAGUUUCUCUUUGACCUUUGAUGAAAAACCUUCAGUCAUGAACGGGACCUAAAACCACAUCAACGUAGACACACUGGAGGCAAAAUGAACUACUGCAAAGAAUGUGGGAGAGGCUUCCACACACCAAGUACAUUAAAAAUACAUGACCUCUUCCACAGUGGGGUCAAAAAGCACAUCUGUGACCAGUGUGGGUCAUCCUUCACCACUGCACAUGAGCUUAAAGAAAAAGCAUAAGAGAAUCCACACAGAAGAGACACCAUACAAGUGCAGACACUGUGACAAAAGCUUCUCACAAUCAGGUCAUCGUAACAAACAUGAAUGUACACACAUGGAAGUGAACGUCAGCUGUGACCAGUGUGACAAGAGCUUCAGGAAUCUCAGUUCAUACUCCGAACACAAACGAUUCCACGCUGUAAAUUAACUGUUUCACUGUUACCAAUGUGCAAAAACAUUCACUUCAUUAUCUGCUCUGUGCAAACAUCAGCCUGAUCAUGCAGGACUGAAAUCACUGGAUCACAAUGAAUCUGAAGAGAGAGAAAGAUCCUCUUCUGGUUUCAGGGUCAGACUUAAAAACCUUGAGAUCAGGCUCCACAGAGUUCAGAUGGAAUCUCCUGUAAAGAGUGUCAGCUGAUGUCACACUUGGAUCUGAUGAGGUAGCUCUGAUUUCUGUAGCUGCAGUGAAUAAUCCUGAAUGUUACAUUUAGGAAGCUGCAUGUAUAGAUAUGUAUAUCAAGUUUAUGUUAUCUCUGUUACAUUUUAGUCUUUGUCUUAUUAAAGUUAUAGGAAUGUCUUUUUUACCAAACUAAUAAAGUAUCAGAAUUGCAGAUAUGGAUAUAUAGUCAGAGGUGGGUAGUAACGAGCUACAUUUACUCCGUUACAUUUACUUGAGUAAGUUUUUGAAAAAAAUGUACUUUUUAAGUACCUUUUUUGCACGAUACUUUUUACUUUUACUGGAGUACAUUUAUAAAGAAGAAACGGUACUUUUACUCCGCCACAUUUGCAAAAUUCGACUCGUUACUUAAAAAAAAUAAAAAAAUAGUUUUAACACAUUAGAUAAGAUGCCGUCAGUGGAGUUUCCGGUAACUUUUUUACCAAUAAGACGUGGCCAUACAGUCACAAGACCAGUUUGAACCCGUGGCGGGCGGAGCGGCCCAAGCGUUUCAAAGUAGCGACACACGGGAAGAAGAAAUAUGAUGGCAGAGUCUAGGCUAGAGCCGAAGAGGAUGAACACCAUUGGCCUCACAUACAAAGAAUGUUUCGCUUAAAAGCAGCACAAAAGAACAGCUAUGUCUGCAGUGUCGGUGUCUUCAGUGAGAGCCAAAACAAACCAACUUUUCAGCGUUAAACAAAUCAGCUCGUAACCUGAUGAAACGGUCUCCACUUCAUCAGACAUCACCUAGACACAGAGCUGGAUGAGGCCAGCACAAACAGCAGCCUAACUGACGAAGAUGAUGGAUCCAUGGGGGUCAGGAAAGCCAGUAGCAGAGGAACUGGAGAGAUACCUUUCAUGUCCAUUCACUGGAGGUGUGGAGCUAUUGCAUGGCUUUCCUCAGAUCAAGAAGCUGUCGAUCAAAGUCAAUACAGCUCUUCCUGCAUCUGCAGCCUGUGAGAGACUUUUUAGUCAUGCAGGACUCCUGUUCACUGGCAAAUGGUCACAGCUUCACAGCAAGAACCUUGAGAGCAAACUGCUGCUGAAGCUGAAGCACCAUUUCACUGACUGAAGAAACAAUUUAUGGUAAAGUGAGCCAUACACAUAUGUACAUCCACAUAGUGGGAAUUUGUAUUUGUUUUUUAUAAUUAGUUUUACUCUGAUUUCAGUGUUUAUUUGUGAGUGUAGUUUUUACAUUUUUACAUACAACAUUGUGUUAAUCCACUAUCUAUACUUCAGGGUAUUUUAGUAUACAAAAUAAGUUUUGUUUGAAUGUCUAUUCUUGUGGAAUUUUAGCACAGAUGUUUUGGUUUUUUUUAAAUUCCUGCUGUCCGCCUUGGGAAUAAACUUUUCCUGAUUAUA